rnacentral:rRNA from 1 species
AACGAACGCUGGCGGCAUGCCUAACACAUGCAAGUCGAACGAGACCUUCGGGUCUAGUGGCGCACGGGUGCGUAACGCGUGGGAACCUGCCCUUAGGUUCGGAAUAACUCCCCGAAAGGGGUGCUAAUACCGGAUAAUGUCUUCGGACCAAAGAUUUAUCGCCUUUGGAUGGGCCCGCGUUGGAUUAGCUAGUUGGUAGGGUAAAAGCCUACCAAGGCGACGAUCCAUAGCUGGUCUGGGAGGAUGAUCAGCCACACUGGGACUGAGACACGGCCCAGACUCCUAGGGGGGGCAGCAGGGGGGAAUUUGGGACAAGGGGCGAAAGCCUGACCCAGCAAUGCCGGGGGAGUGAUGAAGGCCUUAGGGUUGUAAAGCUCUUUUACCCGGGAUGAUAAUGACAGUACCGGGAAAAAAAGCCCCGGCUAACUCCGG